GCGCUUGUAGCUUAACUGGAUAAAGCGCUGCCCUCCGGAGGUAGACAUUACGGGUUCAAAUCCUGUCAGGCGCGCUA
rnacentral:tRNA from 1 species